AAAAAUACGGGAUAAUUCACGCCGGCGACGAAUUCACAGCGAAAUAGAAAAAAUAAAAAUCAGAAGAAAAUAAUUGCCAAAAAAAGGAAAAAGGAAAAGCGAGAGAGACAUCCAAAGUAGAUGAAAGUCAAGAGAAAAGGUGUGGAUAAAUGAAACUAGCCCAUGAUGAACCUGUUUUCUCUGUGACCACAAUAUGAACCAGGAUAAUGGUGGUGGCAGUGGGCCUGCAUCACAGUUUGCAGCAGAUGUUCUCAAUAUUUCUAUUAAAAUUUCCUUAUUUCCAUAUGCAAGAGGAGCCCCAGAGCUGCAUCCUUAUGGUAGCUACCAUGCCAUGAUGUAAGCUGCCAUUCACUGGGAGCUUUGGCAAGAGAAUUGGCUAGAUCAGCAAGCCCAUCUCCACUAUGGAACAACAACUUGCAGCUCAUCUCUAUUGAUGGUGA